UGGGGAAUAUUGGACAAUGGGCGAAAGCCUGAUCCAGCAAUGCCGCGUGAGUGAUGAAGGCCUUAGGGUUGUAAAGCUCUUUUACCCGGGAUGAUAAUGACAGUACCGGGAGAAUAAGCUCCGGCUAACUCCGUGCCAGCAGCCGCGGUAAUACGGAGGGAGCUAGCGUUAUUCGGAAUUACUGGGCGUAAAGCGCACGUAGGCGGCUUUGUAAGUAAGAGGUGAAAGCCUGGUGCUCAACACCAGAACUGCCUUUUAGACUGCAUCGCUUGAAUCCAGGAGAGGUGAGUGGAAUUCCGAGUGUAGAGGUGAAAUUCGUAGAUAUUCGGAAGAACACCAGUGGCGAAGGCGGCUCGCUGGGCCGGUCCUGACGCUGAGACGCGAAGGCGUGGGGAGCGAAC
rnacentral:rRNA from 1 species